GUGACAUACCUAAAACGUUGCUUCGGCGGGAACAGACGGCCCUGUAACAACGGGCCGCCCCCGCCAGAGGACCCCUAACUCUGUUUUUAUAAUGUUUUUCUGAGUAAACAAGCAAAUAAAUUAAAACUUUCAACAACGGAUCUCUUGGCUCUGGCAUCGAUGAAGAACGCAGCGAAAUGCGAUAAGUAAUGUGAAUUGCAGAAUUCAGUGAAUCAUCGAAUCUUUGAACGCACAUUGCGCCCGCCAGUAUUCUGGCGGGCAUGCCUGUUCGAGCGUCAUUACAACCCUCAGGCCCCCGGGCCUGGCGUUGGGGAUCGGCAGAAGCCCCCUGUGGGCACACGCCGUCCCUCAAAUACAGUGGCGGUCCCGCCGCAGCUUCCAUUGCGUAGUAGCUAACACCUCGCAACUGGAGAGCGGCGCGGCCAUGCCGUAAAACACCCAACUUCUGAAUGUUGACCUCGAAUCAGGUAGGAAUACCCGCUGAACUUAAGCAUAUCAAU
rnacentral:rRNA from 1 species